GGCGGCGGCGGUGGAUACCCCAGUGGUGGCGGUGGUGGUGGAUACCCCAGUGGUGGCGGUGGUGCCGGACGUCAACCAGGUGGUGCAUUCGGAGGUUCCGGAGGGUUUGGACCUUCAGGUGGCAGCAGACAACCUAGUGCAGGAGGGUUUGGCAGAAUCCCAGGAGGCCAACGUCCUAGCACACCCUCCUUCUCACCACAGUCUGGAUAUCAGUACCCGAAACCCGGAAAAUAAAUGUUAGAAAAACUCGUAGUCCCUUACCUAAAAACCGUUACUACAUGAUCUUCAGUGGUGAUAGAUUUAAAGGUAGAAACAAAACAUGGGAAUAAUUUAAAUCUCUGCAGAUGGUAAUAUCAUAGCAACAGAUAAAAUAAGGGUGAUAUUUAGAUGCUUGUGUAACUUUUAUUCAGACGUAAUGAAAUUUGACUUCAAAAGUAAUCAACUCUUAGUUUAAAAGAAGCUUUAAAUUGCAGCAGAUUUUAUUCGCAUAAUAUGUCAGUCAUGCACUAAUAAAAUCCGUAAUUGCUGAUUUUCGUUGGCUAGUCAUAGGCAACAUUUCCUAAAUAAGGCAUAUUCUUUUAUGCAUUUUUAAACAACGUAUAAUCAAUUUUUGACUAAUUUUAAAUUAAAUAAGUAUCGUCUUUCAGCAAGUCAAUAAAAACGUCUUGAAGUAUUGGAGUUUCUGAUCGAAAUAUUCUAACGGCUACGUGAUGAUGAUGAUGAUGAUAAUUAAGGUAGAAUAGGUGCAGAUAUUUACGAGUUUAUUUUUAACUCAAGUAACGCAUCCAUUAUAUCGCUCACUUUGAAUAUAAUAGUUCAGUAAGUUGACGACUAGGCAAUUCUAACAUGUACAUAUAUAAUAACAGCGUAUUUCUAAACAUCAAUGGUCUAUUUAUUUUUGUAUAUGCUAAGCCAAUUGUAAUAAAAUAAUGUAUAAAAUAGUCUUGUUUUGUAAUAAAGCUCAAUUAUACUUAAA